rnacentral:misc_RNA from 1 species
GAUGAAGAACGCAGCGAAAUGCGAUAAGUAAUGUGAAUUGCAGAAUUCAGUGAAUCAUCGAAUCUUUGAACGCGCAUUGCGACCGCCAGUAUUCUGGCGGGCAUGCCUGUUCGAGCGUCAUUUCAACCAUCAAGCCCCCGGCUUGUGUUGGGGACCUGCGGCUGCCGCAGGCCCUGAAAACCAGUGGCGGGCUCGCUGUCACACCGAGCGUAGUAGAUUUUCAUCUCGCUCAGGGCGUGCUGCGGGUUCCGGCCGUUAAAAGCCUUAUUUACCCAAGGUUGACCUCGGAUCAGGUAGGAAGACCCGCUGAACUUAAGCAUAUCAAUAAGCGGAGGA